AUGCUCGGUGGUCCAGGGGCGAGGGGCACUCCUGCUCUUCCCUCGCUCAGCACCGGGCUGGAUUGUGCGGCGGGGUGAGAGUAAAGCGGCAUUUCCUCAUCACCCAAGGGCUUUGCUGGGCUUGGAUGGGGCUGGAGGGGGGAAUGGAUGGGAGGAGCCGGGACUCCACUAACCUGAUUAACCAGGUUAGAAACCAACCUUGCAAAAACCCAAACCGCCUGGCUGCAACCUCCUCCUGCCCUCCCAGGGCACGGCUGGUCCCGAGUGGGAACUCCCCACCCAGCCUCGCACCCCCACUCCCCUCCCGCAUCCGAGAGCGGCCAAGCACGGUGUGGAGGUGGGAUGCGACGGCGGGCAUCGUGCCUCCGGCUCCUAGGACCGGCACCAGCGGCGAGGACCAGCGGCGGGGCUGGGGACCUGGGUGCCGCUAAGAGGAUGAAAACAUGGGGCUCAAGUUAUCCUGCCUGAAAGGUAGGUUGGGGUGGGUGUUGGGGUCUCUCCUGCUCUGUGAAGGCAUCUGGGGGAUGGUUGUACAUGGAGGAGCUUUGGGCAUUUCUGCCGUCGGCAGGACUGGUGCGGUUUGGCAUCCUGGUGGCAUUUAAGCAAGUCCCACGGGUGACCUGUUGUUCAUGCAUCACCCCAGAGGCAAAGGGUCUGGUCCUGGGCUUGCUCCUGCAUCCUUUGCUCUGGAGCAUCCCUAAGCUGAUGGCAUCCCUCUAGAAAUCAGGUGGGGUUUUCUUAGAGGUGGGAAAAAGCCAGCAUGGAUGGGAUGCUUGGGGAACGGAUGGGAUGCUCCUGGCUGACCCUGAGCAUCCUUCAUCCUUCAUUGCUCUGCUUCACCCCGGGGAUAUUCCAGCCCAGGAAUUUCCCCCUAGCUUUAAUUUUCUUAAUGGAGUUAGGCUGGGGACGGCGGCAGUGAUGUCUGCAGAGAGAGGAAAGCGGGAGCUUUUAACGCUCCUGGCCUCGCCGCACUGGGUGAGCAGGGCGAAGGCUGGAUAUUGCAUCUCCCAUUAGCUCUGCGUCCCAGUGCUGACCCCUGAGCAGC
rnacentral:lncRNA from 1 species